rnacentral:lncRNA from 1 species
GGGAAUACACCGAGGUGUUCACACACUACUGUUUACACAGGAACAGCCAACAUCUUCAACCUUUCCCUGAGGUUUUGACAAUGACUUUUUUGGAAUGUGCCUCUUAAGACCAUUUCCAAAUAUAGGUGUUUUUAAGACCUUAGGUUGACAUUGGCUAAUGCUUUGCUGUUAUUCAGAAGGUUGUGGUUGUUUUACUAAAUGCCCCACUCAUCAAUAAGUAGGAAGCAGUUCCUGUGAAAAUGUUUUAUGUUGUCAACUGGACAUCAUAAUCGUCAGACAACUUGUUAUCAACAAAUAAUGUGAACAUUGUUUCUAAACAAAACCAGGGCUUGAGAUGGAAUGUGUGUAAAUAUUUAGCAGUCUGUUUAUAUGCACCUCUAGCUCAAGGGAGCUGUGUUAAAGAAAGUUAUAUUUAAUUCUAAAAGUCGUUUCAAAAGGUUUGGCAAGAUGUUCAGCACUGUAGAAAAUGUUUACUUCCACGGCGGGAACUUGCCUCUGUUAAUAGAAGUUAGUAGAAGUAUUUAAAAUAUUUGUAGUAUGGCCUACUCCAGUCGCAGCCUCUCAUGUGCUCUCACACACGUGAUCAGUCUGCAAAAAAGUGUUGUUUUGAUAGGAUCCUUCUGUAGAAUUACAUGUUGCUCUUAUUACACUGACAAUUAAGUUAAACAUAGAUAUAGUCUUACUAUAGAUGUCAGAAGGCCAUCCAGAGUAAUAGACGCAUUUAUUCCUAAAAGAACUGCUGUGUUUUGCAAGUAGAAACGGUCUGUGACCAAUACAACUAAAUGAAUUACCCCUGAAACAGCCUUGGGAUCACAGCUUGUUGGACAUACUGAAGAGAUGUUCACAUAUCCUUCUGUCAAAAUGUGAUCAUUAUGAACUUUCUUUGGUAUUCUAUUUUGAGGUUUUCCCUUCUGAAGUCUAUAUAUGUCCUCUGAAACACUGUCAACUUUUUUGUUCUAAUUUCUUUGAUGCACAUUAUUGUGUUGGAUCUGAAAGUGCUUUUUGUUUGGAAGGACACCAUACUAAAAUUCCCUUUGUAAAUCUGUUGAAAUAGGCUCAUUUCGUCAGGAAUGGUUCUUUCUAAGAAAGUUAAUCUAUAGUAUCACAGGAAUGGUUUAAAUGUUACAGAAAGGAGGAAAAGUUAAUGGAAAGGUGUAUAACAUGAUGACAGAGUCCCAAGAGAGGGAGGGUAUUGUUGAUAUACAACCUUGACUUCAUAUGGAACUCCAUAAGCCAAGGGCUUAGCAAAGAUUUGUACAGACCAAGUACACAUUUGUCACAUUUCAGUACAAUUAUUCAAUAAAAUGAAUGACAUGUUUCAGCAGACAGACCAAGACAGGAGAUAGUUGAUGGUAGGGGAGAGUCAUUUUAUUUGGUUGUUUUAUAUAAAUGGAAAUCCAUGGAGCCAGCCAGUGGGUUGAUAACAACUACAUUUUCUGUGACAGAAAAACCAAGCGUAGACAUGCUUUCAAUAUUUUAUAAAAGAAGCGUUAAACAUUGGUUUUCUGACUUAAGCUUUUUUGGCUUAGAGUUGGGAUGAGGGUAAAUAGUAAAGGUCUACAUAUAGCAUGGCAGAUUUCAUUUAAUUUACAAGAUGAAAAGCUGCAUAAACCAGAUGAUUAAUUUCAAAUAAAAGUUCUCAAUAAAGUUCUAAUGAACAUUGUUACAAGACAUAAGCCCAAAAAUAAAUGACUUGUACAUUCAAACACUGCACUGAAGAUCAGAAACAUUCCCACUAUUAUCCUUUUGGAGAGGAUAUUGUAGAAGAGAUAAAUUGCUGAGAAGGAGAGGGACGAUGAAGGUGGAAAUGUUCUAGCAACAAAAUAUCUAAAACAAAUACAUCAAGAAUACGAUCAAAGGAACAAGACGCCAAUUGUGCAUUACUGAAAACUGAAGCUUACUUAAUCACACACAAAAUAUCUAAAUAAAA